rnacentral:rRNA from 1 species
GACGAACCGUGCGAACGUUGUUCGGAAUCACUGGGCUUAAAGGGCGCGUAGGCGGCUUGCUAAGUCAGAGGUGAAAUCCUGCAGCUCAACUGUAGAAGUGCCUUUGAUACUGGUAAGCUCGAGGGAGGUAGGGGUGGGUGGAACUUCUGGUGGAGCGGUGAAAUGCGUUGAUAUCAGAAGGAACGCCGGUGGCGAAAGCGACUCACUGGACCUCUUCUGACGCUGAGGCGCGAAAGCUAGGGGAGCAAACGGG